AGAGUUUGAUCCUGGCUCAGGACUUUCUCUGGCGGCAUGCCUAACACAUGCAAGUCGAACGGAGUAUGAGAGCAGAAGGUUUCGGCUGGAAGUUUGAAAUACUUAGUGGCGGACGGGUGAGUAACGCGUGGGUAACGUACCUAUCAGAGGGGAAUAACAAUGAGAAAUCAGUGCUAAUACCGCAUAAGGUUCAGUCAUCGCAUGAUGGCAGAAGGAAAGGUGGCGGACUUGAGAGAGGCUAUCGCUGAUAGAGCGACCCGCGUCUGAUUAGCUAGUUGGUGGGGUAAAGGCCUACCAAGGCGACGAUCAGUAGCCGGCCUGAGAGGGUGGACGGCCACAUUGGGACUGAGACACGGCCCAAACUCCUACGGGAGGCAGCAGUGGGGAAUCUUCCGCAAUGGGCGCAAGCCUGACGGAGCAAUGCCGCGUGAACGAAGAAGGUCUUCGGAUUGUAAAGUUCUGUCCUUAUCGAAGAGAGGGUAUAGAGUGAAAAAUGAUAUACUAGGACGGUAGAUGAGGAGGAAGCCCCGGCUAACUACGUGCCAGCAGCCGCGGUAAUACGUAGGAGGCGAGCGUUGUCCGGAAUCACUGGGCGUAAAGGGCGCGUAGGCGGUAAUAUAAGUCAGAUGUGAAAGGUGGGGGCUCAACCCCUAGAGUGCAACUGAUACUGUAUAACUUGAGUGUGAGAGAGGGAAGCGGAAUUCCUAGUGUAGCGGUGAAAUGCGUAGAUAUUAGGAGGAACACCAGUGGCGAAGGCGGCUUUCUGGAUCAUAACUGACGCUGAGGCGCGAAAGCGUGGGGAGCAAACAGGAUUAGAUACCCUGGUAGUCCACGCCGUAAACG
rnacentral:rRNA from 1 species